GGGCAUGUAGCGCAGUUGGUAGCGCGCUCGCUUAGCAGAAUCCUUACGUAAUCGGGCUGCGAGAGGCCUCCGGUUCAAAUCCGGACUUGUCCA
rnacentral:tRNA from 1 species